UACCGGGGAGAAGAAGAGGUAGCUGGGGGGAAGUAUGGGGGAGACUAAUACGCCUCGGCUCGUCGCCUGUAAGAUACGGCUCCUGGCUGGCACCGUGGCGGCGUGGCCCUACUUCGAGCUCUGGCCGUCUGGAAGGGAUGUCACCGUGCCGAGCAGCGGCUCGUUCGGCUACUCCUUCCUCGUCACUCCGCGGCACGCGUGUAGCCGCGUGGCUUUUUCCAGUCGCUGCGGCACGUCCACACGGUCCUAGAGGUCAUGCUGCAGGAGGCCUCGGAGUGGUCGUACUCGUGAAGGCCCGGGGAGUGGACAGUACAGUAGACGGGGGCGGGGCGCUCUCGCGGCGCCCACACACGUACAACGAUGACAAUGCCCACACACGUACGGUAGCGACCAUGACUGACCACACGCGUAAAAUUUGGUUAUUACUCCGACCCGUUGAGCGAGGGUCCUCCGAGGGGGCUGAACCCGAAGCAAUCGGUAGGCUAGAUGGGAAGACCGCACAGGCCCGGCAGCCUAGAAAGUUAUUGGUCUAAAAAGUGGAGUGCCAGUAAAGCUGAGCGGUUACUGCUCACCCGAGCGCGGAGCACAAGUAACCGACCAACCGGUAAAGGCGUACUUGCUGUGAAACGAGUUAGACCAGGCACACGAUGUGUGGGUUAGAGCGAGCGUGUGGUCCGUGGCGUGUUGGGAUCGAGGGUGAAAGGGGAGCUAGGUGACGGGGAGGGAGGAGGGGCGAACAGUGGUCCCGGAGCCGUAGCGGAUGAGGAGGAGGUGGUGGUAACGAAUAAGGGGUGGAGUUGAAGGGAGAGAUGCAACAAAUAGGCCAGUAGCCGCCACGGACCUAGGUCUAAACCGCGUUCAUUCCGGACCACCACCCCGCUUCCCCGUGACCUCUCCCUUCUCCGCCCCUGCCCUCCGAGUUACCUUCUCCCUUCUACCUACUCCGCCCCUGUCCACUUCGUCGUCCGACCAGGAGCACCUCCGCCGCGACGGCCGGUCCCCGGUAAGCGCCAAAAAUAGACGACGGAAGAAUGAGGCCCCGUACGGUUCCUUCUUGAGUGCGUGUGGUCGGUUCCAUCCGAAGGUGGAAGAACGAGUGCAAGCACCAGGUCCGCUGGCUCCGCUCGGUCGGGCGAGCUCGACAGGCUCCACUUCGUCCAGAGGACCUACGCACGAAGUAGACUCAAAGUGCCCCAUGAAUUCGUUACCAACGGGGGCGGUGUAGUGUAUGGUAUACGAGUCUAAUAUUCUUUCUCCUUAAAACGCAUAAUAGAACCUCCGUUACCGUCGUACCCACCGUACUCUCCUUCCUACCCUUAGUCGAUGAACGUAAGCGUGCCUCCUCCGUUGUAGCUACGCUACCGUGCUGUCUCCUCCAACCCGAGCAACACCUCGAAGAACUCCGUCGUCCUGCAGCCGCUCUCGUAGCGACGGCCGUUGCCGAGCUCUCUGGAGAACUCCUAGAAGAGGUACUCGUGGACCCUGCUGUGGUUGAGGUUGUAGUACAAGAGUCGCGGGCUGUCGUUCUUCCGGCUCCACGAGCCGCUGUCGUUACAGACGUACCAGUGGUCGAAGUCGUUGUAGCUGCGGGUCAAUCGGGAGAGCUCAACCUGUACGGGUCGUACCUGCUGAUGGACGUCGACAUCAUCCUGAGGCGGCUGACGUCUCAGGUGCGGUUCGCACCGACGUGUUGACUGGGUAUCUUGUAGCGAACCCUCCCUUUCUUCUUGUUCCUAGUUAUUCUCCGAUUCCUCCGACGUUCUGGAGUAAGGGAUGUACCUGUUCCAGUGUUCAAAUAAGAUGGUACCUAAGGGAGACUCUUUAGGCUCCUCGGGAAGGAAGACGUCCGACCUCGUACGACGCCAACACGCCCCUCGCUCGUGUGCUUCCGCUCAAGGUGCCCUAGACUCCUCCCGGAGGCAGCUCGCCCGAACGCUAGACACGACACGAUCUCCUCUUACCGGUCCGUCCUCGCUCAAGAAGCCACCGCCGCACACCGUCCCGCCCGUGGCCGUAGGACAAGACUCCCACCGACGCUACUGUAAGUGCGCGUACCCCGACCGCCAAUAGGCCGCGCUUGGCCACCAACACCUUCUGCAAUCCGCACACCCCGGCCGCCGGCGGUUCGCACCCUGACGUUACCACCAGACCGGGCCCAACCACCAACCCCUACGUCGCGGCUUACUUCUGGAACAACGAUCAGAACCCCCGCCCCAUCCGCUGCUGCUGCGCACGCCAGCGAAGAAGGAAGAUCUUCCGCAGAAACUCCGCAACACAAAGAAGAGCGAGGUGAUGCGUUCUUUCGAGCCCCUUUGGGAACUAGGGGACCCUUCCCGCUACUACCGCUGCACACACAGCGUGGAGAACCCCGUAACAAAGCCCUCUAAGAAUGGCCGAUCUCCCCGGUCACUAUCCACCCCCCACAGCAAGCACGACGAACCAGUACAGGGAGACCCUACU
rnacentral:rRNA from 1 species